CAGUCCGUUCCACAAUCAACAAGGCUAUCGCCGCAUUAUAUCCCAAAAACUCUAUUACGUGUCUAUUUAUAAGUUUAAUAAUUUUAGACAACCUUUUUCUUCUGAUUCAUUGUUACCAUGGUUACCAUGCCAUCAUAUUGACGUCUUGAUUCCAUAUAUAUUAUAAUUCUCUUUGUCUUGAUUGAUAACCUAAGUCAAAUUGAUUGGCCGGCUGUUUUGAAUAUAUAAUAUAAUGGUCUAAAAAUAAAUAACAACAAUCAUGAAAUUCAUUUUGUUAUCCACCAGACAGUACAAACAUCCUGAAAUACAUUUUAAAUGAUAAAAUUCCUCAAGACAGUCAAAAUAAUGGAUGAUAAAAAAGAACGUGUUAUCAAAUCAGUAUCAAUACCUCCGCCAGUGCUCCUGAUGACGAAAGUCCUGAAGCAUAUAAAAAAAUCAUUAUGUUAAUCGUGCAAACGAAUAUGUUGCCAUUCGAGUCGUUGGAAUUUCCCCAAAAAUGUUUAAUAUGCCAAGAGCUCGACUUGACAGAGAUGGUGUUUCUAUGCGUCGCGUGCACUUUCAUUAUUUUACUUCUCAUGCAGACCUGUCGCAUCAUAUCCUACGGCUCCGAGGACGUCACAUUGUAGAAUGGAUCAAGGCAAUGAGCUGUUGUUGAAUCUCGUGCAAUGUUACAAUGGCCAUCCUGAUAGUAAGUGAACAUUGAAGUGACCAGAAUUCUUCUGCAAUAUUUUUUCCACUAAACGGGUUAAUAAAUACGCCGUGUCAAUAAAAUAAAUUAAACCGUAAGGAAGAAUUGAAUUGGGAGGGAAGAGUUUUAUGAGAGUUUCGGCAAUGGUGCGUAACUAUUUGCCAUCAACAGUCGCGGAAAAUUCAUUAUGUCAGUUCAG
rnacentral:misc_RNA from 1 species